rnacentral:rRNA from 1 species
AUUGAACGCUGGCGGCAGGCCUAACACAUGCAAGUCGAGCGAGCGGCGGACGGGUGAGUAAUGUCUGGGAAACUGCCUGAUGGAGGGGGAUAACUACUGGAAACGGUAGCUAAUACCGCAUACCAUCAGAUGUGCCCAGAUGGGAUUAGCUCGUAGGUGGGGUAACGUCUCACCUAGGCGACGCUCCGUAGCUGGUCUGCGAGGAUGACCAGCCACACUGGAACUGAGACACGGUCCAGACUCGUACGGGAGGCAGCGGUGGGGAAUAUUGCACAAUGGGCUCAAGCCAGAUGCAGCCAUGCCGCGUGUAUGAGGAAGGCCUUCGGGUUGUAAAGUACUUUCAGCGGGGAGGCGUUACCCGCAGAAGAAGCACCGGCUAACUCCGUGCCAGCAGCCGCGGUAAUAC